ACGUAGCGGUGGAACCCGUGCACAGUAACAAACCUAAUCCUUAUCUAAAGAUUAUUUUGACAAAAAUCCUUAAGUUUAGUGGGUCCCACACGAUAUUAUACCUGAUUGAUCCCUAAGGAUUUUUGGGUAAGGAUCCCCAUUGGACCUGCCCUUAGACCACCAUUAUCCCAGGUCCUUAAGUGGAGUUUUUAAGAAAAGCAAUGAUUUAAUUAAAUCAAAAUAAAAGAAAAUCAAUGUAACCGAUCCUUAAUACAUAGUUUUGGUAAUCGAUCAUAAUGAAGUUUCUUAAUACACGUGUCAGCGAACUGUGAUUUAGGAUUUUUAUUUUUUUUUCUUUUCUUUCUUUCCUCUUCUCUCGUGUUUGGAUUCGAAGAAGAAAAACACAGAGACGCCCGCUUGAUCGCCGGCAUUCUGUUUCUCUCCGGCCGCCGAGUCUUUCACCUUUCGUUGUAAACCUCUCAGAAACGGCAUCGGAGAGAGGAGGCGUGAAGGGCUCGAGGUGGCGCUGGAGUUAUGUCAAGGUUCCUUGGAUUUUCGAUCUUCUUCGAGUCCUUCUCCUCUUCCCCGGGGAUCUUAUCUUCUCCACCGUCGGAAAUGUUGUUAUGUUCUCUCUUCAUCUUCUCUGUUUCACCCAAUUGUGUUUUUUUUGCAACUUUAUAAACUUUUUCUGUUGCUCUUGCUAGUGUGAUUGUUGAGGCUAUGAAAGUUGACAGCUUGCACAGGCUAUGCUCCUCUGUGGAACCUAUUCUCCGUAGAGUUGUAAGUUCUGAUUUUGUCUCUCUUUUGUUCUUGUCUAAAUCAGACACCAUCAACUAUGCUUGGUUCUUGUUUAAAUCACUAUGAUUGUAGUCUUAUUGUCCGAAGGUGUAUGAUGCUUGUCAUGUCUCAAUGUUUUACUUUGUUUUUGUCUGAAGGUAUGCACUCACUCAUCUGAGAUUGCUCAAACUGGCUGAAGAUCCUGCUACUAGACCUGUUUUUGAAGUUCGUUGUGUCUCUGUAAUCGGCUAAAAGCAUCUGACACUUUAUUUUGUUGCAGAUUAACUACAGAAUACGUUUGAGGAUCGUGAGAAUGAGGUAUAUACUUAACCUUUACAUAAUGACAAAAACUCUUUUUUCUCAGUUUGGCAUUUCUUUUGAGCUAAUAAUUUUGACUUUGCUUUCAACAUAUCAGUGCUUGUUCUUGAUAGAGCAUUCUACCAAGCAAGAAACGAGGUGUUAGAAUUCGUGGUAUCAUAAUCUGAAACCCUUGAACCUCUUUAUGUUUUGGUUUAUUCAUAUCUCAUGUGUGUUCAGUUAAAUAAUUCGAUGGAGGUUUCAAUGAUUGAAAGUUUGUUUUGCCAGGCUCGAUUUAAAAGCUGGAACUUUUGAUAAACUUGGUAGCCAUGACGACAUUGCUACAUCUUGGUUCAUCUAAAACUUAUCUACUGUUUUCAACACUAUUAAACUAUUUUAUCAUCUUGGAUUAUGUUUUGUUGAUUGUGAUUGUGUACUUUGUUGAUUGUGUAAUGUGUUUUAAGAAACCUAAAUUAA